rnacentral:rRNA from 1 species
AGCGAACGCUGGCGGCAGGCCUAACACAUGCAAGUCGAACGAACCUUUCGGGGUUAGUGGCGGACGGGGGAGUAACACGUGGGAACGUGCCCUUAGGUUCGGAAUAACUCAGGGAAACUUGUGCUAAUACCGAAUGUGCCCUUCGGGGGAAAGAUUUAUCGCCUUUAGAGCGGCCCGCGUCUGAUUAGCUAGUUGUUUAAGGUAAUGGCUCACCAAGGCGACGAUCAGUAGCUGGUCUGAGAGGAUGAUCAGCCACAUUGGGACUGAGACACGGCCCAAACUCCUACGGGAGGCAGCAGUGGGGAAUCUUGCGCAAUGGGCGAAAGCCUGACGCAGCCAUGCCGCGUGAAUGAUGAAGGUCUUAGGAUUGUAAAAUUCUUUCACCGGGGACGAUAAUGUCGGUACCCGGAGAAGAAGCCCCGGCUAACUUCGUG